AUUGAACGCUGGCGGCAGGCCUAACACAUGCAAGUCGAACGGUAACAGGAAACAGCUUGCUGUUUCGCUGACGAGUGGCGGACGGGUGAGUAAUGUCUGGGAAACUGCCUGAUGGAGGGGGAUAACUACUGGAAACGGUAGCUAAUACCGCAUAACGUCGCAAGACCAAAGAGCGGGACCUUCGGGCCUCUUGCCAUCGGAUGUGCCCAGAUGGGAUUAGCUAGUAGUUGGGGUAACGGCUCACCUAGGCGACGAUCCCUAGCUGGUCUGAGAGGAUGACCAGCCACACUGGAACUGAGACACGGUCCAGACUCCUACGGGAGGCAGCAGUGGGGAAUAUUGGACAAUGGGGGCAAGGCUGAUGCAGCCAUGCCGCGUGUAUGGAGGAGGCCUUCGGGUUGUAAAGUACUUUCAGCGGGGAGGAAGGGAGUAAAGUUAAUACCUUUACUCAUUGACGUUACCCGCAGAAGAAGCACCGGCUAACUCCGUG
rnacentral:rRNA from 1 species